AGAGUUUGAUCCUGGCUCAGGAUGAACGCUGGCGGCGUGCCUAAUACAUGCAAGUCGAGCGAACGGACGAGAAGCUUGCUUCUCUGAUGUUAGCGGCGGACGGGUGAGUAACACGUGGAUAACCUACCUAUAAGACUGGGAUAACUUCGGGAAACCGGAGCUAAUACCGGAUAAUAUUUUGAACCGCAUGGUUCAAAAGUGAAAGACGGUCUUGCUGUCACUUAUAGAUGGAUCCGCGCUGCAUUAGCUAGUUGGUAAGGUAACGGCUUACCAAGGCAACGAUGCAUAGCCGACCUGAGAGGGUGAUCGGCCACACUGGAACUGAGACACGGUCCAGACUCCUACGGGAGGCAGCAGUAGGGAAUCUUCCGCAAUGGGCGAAAGCCUGACGGAGCAACGCCGCGUGAGUGAUGAAGGUCUUCGGAUCGUAAAACUCUGUUAUUAGGGAAGAACAUAUGUGUAAGUAACUGUGCACAUCUUGACGGUACCUAAUCAGAAAGCCACGGCUAACUACGUGCCAGCAGCCGCGGUAAUACGUAGGUGGCAAGCGUUAUCCGGAAUUAUUGGGCGUAAAGCGCGCGUAGGCGGUUUUUUAAGUCUGAUGUGAAAGCCCACGGCUCAACCGUGGAGGGUCAUUGGAAACUGGAAAACUUGAGUGCAGAAGAGGAAAGUGGAAUUCCAUGUGUAGCGGUGAAAUGCGCAGAGAUAUGGAGGAACACCAGUGGCGAAGGCGACUUUCUGGUCUGUAACUGACGCUGAUGUGCGAAAGCGUGGGGAUCAAACAGGAUUAGAUACCCUGGUAGUCCACGCCGUAAACGAUGAGUGCUAAGUGUUAGGGGGUUUCCGCCCCUUAGUGCUGCAGCUAACGCAUUAAGCACUCCGCCUGGGGAGUACGACCGCAAGGUUGAAACU
rnacentral:rRNA from 2 species